GAUCCGCACCACCCUCAUUCUCGUAAGAUUGCGCACACGCGAGACGGUCUAGGAACCGUCCGGCGAAAGCCAUCGUGUGCGCAGACCAAAGGGCCCUCAGAGGCCCUUUUUUGUUGCCUUCGA
rnacentral:sRNA from 1 species